GCACUGCUGAGGUGUCCGACAAUAGGACGAAACGGCCGUCCAGUAC
rfam:Schistosoma margrebowiei strain Zambia genome assembly, scaffold: SMRZ_contig0001977